GUGAAGAACGUAGCGAAAUGCGAUAAGUAAUGUGAAUUGCAGAAUUCAGUGAAUCAUCGAAUCUUUGAACGCACAUUGCGCCCGCCAGUAUUCUGGCGGGCAUGCCUGUUCGAGCGUCAUUUCAACCAUCAAGCCCCAGGCUUGUGUUGGGGGCCUGCAGCUGCUGCAGCCCCCUAAAAGCAGUGGCGGACUCGCUGUCAUACCGAGCGCAGUAGUUACAUCUCGCUCUGGGCAUGGCGGCGGGCACCUGCCGUAAAACACUCUUUCUAAGGUUGACCUCGGAUCAGGUAGGAAUACCCGCUGAACUUAAGCAUAUCAAUAAGCGGAGGA
rnacentral:misc_RNA from 1 species